rnacentral:rRNA from 1 species
UACGGAGGGGCAAGCGUUGUUCGGAAUUACUGGGCGUAAAGGGCGCGCAGGCGGCUGCUCAAGUCAGGCGUGAAAGGCCUGGGCUCAACCCGGGAAUUGCGCUUGAGACUGGGCUGGCUUGAGUGCGGGAGAGGUGAGUGGAACUGCGAGUGUAGAGGUGAAAUUCGUAGAUAUUCGCAAGAACACCAGUGGCGAAGGCGGCUCACUGGCCCGUAACUGACGCUGAGGCACGAAAGCGUGGGGAGCAAACAGG